UAGGGAAUCUUCGGCAAUGGACGAAAGUCUGACCGAGCAACGCCGCGUGAGUGAAGAAGGUUUUCGGAUCGUAAAACUCUGUUGGUAGAGAAGAACGUUGGUGAGAGUGGAAAGCUCAUCAAGUGACGGUAACUACCCAGAAAGGGACGGCUAACUACGUGCCAGCAGCCGCGGUAAUACGUAGGUCCCGAGCGUUGUCCGGAUUUAUUGGGCGUAAAGCGAGCGCAGGUGGUUUAUUAAGUCUGGUGUAAAAGGCAGUGGCUCACCAUU
rnacentral:rRNA from 1 species